UUAGCGGCGCUUUUAAGCGCCACUAAAAGUAUUGAAAGCGCUGCA
rfam:Gossypium hirsutum cultivar TM-1 chromosome 18, whole genome shotgun sequence